rnacentral:rRNA from 1 species
AUACGUAGGGGGCGAGCGUUGUCCGGAAUGAUUGGGCGUAAAGGGCGCGUAGGCGGCUUUGCAAGUCAGUAGUGGAAGUCCAUUUUUCAAGGAUGGAAGUGCUACAGAAACUGCGGAGCUUGAGUGCAGGAGAGGUUAUCGGAAUUCCCGGUGUUGCGGUGAAAUGCGUAGAGAUCGGGAGGAACACCAGUGGCGAAGGCGGGUAACUGGACUGCAACUGACGCUGAGGCGCGAAAGUGUGGGGAGCAAACAGGAUUAGAUACCCUGGUAGUCCACACUGUAAACGAUGAAUGCUAGGUGUAGGAGGUAUCGACCCCUUCUGUGCCGCAGUAAACACAGUAAGCAUUCCGCCUGGGGAGUACGGUCGCAAGAUUAAAACUCAAAGGAAUUGACGGGG